rnacentral:rRNA from 1 species
UACGUAGGGUGCAAGCGUUAAUCGGAAUUACUGGGCGUAAAGCGUGCGCAGGCGGUUUUGUAAGUCUGUCGUGAAAUCCCCGGGCUCGACCUGGGAAUUGCGAUGGAGACUGCAAGGCUAGAAUCUGGCAGAGGGGGGUAGAAUUCCACGUGUGAGCAGUGAAAUGCGUAGAGAUGCGGAGGAACACCGAUGGCGAAGGCAGCCCCCUGGGCUGACACUGACGCUCAGGCACGAAAGCGUGGGGAGCAAACAGG